GACGAACGCUGGCGGCGUGCCUAAUACAUGCAAGUCGAGCGAAGUCUUUCUGGUGCUUGCACUAGAAAAACUUAGCGGCGCACGGGUGAGUAACACGUAAAGAACCUGCCUCAUAGACUGGGACAACUAUUGGAAACGAUAGCUAAUACCGGAUAACAGUAUUUCUCGCAUGAGAGAUAUUUAAAAGUUGGUUAUGCUAUCACUAUGCGAUGGCUUGGCGGUGCAUUAGCUAGUUGGUGGGGUAAAGGCCCACCAAGGCGACGAUGCAUAGCCGACCUGAGAGGGUGAUCGGCCACACUGGAACUGAGACACGGCCCAGACUCCUACGGGAGGCAGCAGUAGGGAAUCUUCCGCAAUGGGCGAAAGCCUGACGGAGCAACGCCGCGUGAGUGAAGAAGGAUUUCGGUUCGUAAAGCUCUGUUGUUAGGGAAGAAUGGAUAUGUAGUAACUAUACAUGUAAGAGACGGUACCUAACCAGAAAGCCACGGCUAACUACGUG
rnacentral:rRNA from 1 species